rnacentral:lncRNA from 1 species
GCCGCUGUUUUAUUCUGAGUAAAACUGCCAAUCCAAGACAUCGUGACUUAAGCAUCAGCCUGGUUGUGCUUUCGUAGGCCGUGAGGGUGCGCUGAUCCUGAGCACAGUCUAAUCUGAGAAUGAGCUCCUGUGCUGCUAGCAACUGCAGCUGCAGGUUCCCAAUCCUGGCUUUGCUCCAUACCGACAGUGCCCUUGCAACUGAUGUGAGCUUGGUGUUGAAGGAGGAGAUUGGGUCUGUCUGCACAGGUACAC